CUACGGGCGGCUGCAGUGGGGAAUAUUGCACAAUGGGCGCAAGCCUGAUGCAGCAACGCCGCGUGAGGGAUGAAGGCCUUCGGGUUGUAAACCUCUUUUAGCAGGGAAGAAGCGAAAGUGACGGUACCUGCAGAAAAAGCACCGGCUAACUACGUGCCAGCAGCCGCGGUAAUACGUAGGGUGCAAGCGUUGUCCGGAAUUAUUGGGCGUAAAGAGCUCGUAGGCGGUUUGUCACGUCUGCUGUGAAAAUCCAAGGCUCAACCUUGGACUUGCAGUGGGUACGGGCAGGCUAGAGUGCGGUAGGGGAGAUGGGAAUUCCCGGUGUAGCGGUGGAAUGCGCAGAUAUCAGGAGGAACACCAAUGGCGAAGGCACAUCUCUGGGCCGUAACUGACGCUGAGGAGCGAAAGCGUGGGGAGCGAACAGGAUUAGAUACCCGGGUAGUC
rnacentral:rRNA from 1 species